UGGGGAAUAUUGCACAAUGGGCGCAAGCCUGAUGCAGCAACGCCGCGUGAGGGAUGACGGCCUUCGGUUGUAAACCUCUUUAGUAAGGAAGAAGGGAAGCUUGCUUCUUGACGGUACUUGCAGAAAAAGGACCGGCUAACUACGUGCCAGCAGCCGCGGUAAUACGUAGGGUCCGAGCGUUGUCCGGAAUUAUUGGGCGUAAAGAGCUCGUAGGCGGUUUGUCGCGUCUGCUGUGAAAUCCCGAGGCUCAACCUCGGGCCUGCAGUGGGUACGGGCAGACUUGAGUGCGGUAGGGGAGAAUGGAAUUCCUGGUGUAGCGGUGGAAUGCGCAGAUAUCAGGAGGAACACCGAUGGCGAAGGCAGUUCUCUGGGCCGUAACUGACGCUGAGGAGCGAAAGCGUGGGGAGCGAACAGGAUUAGAUACCCUGGUAGUCCACGCCGUAAACGUUGGGCGCUAGAUGUGGGUCUCAACCAACGAGAUCCGCGCCGUCGCUAACG
rnacentral:rRNA from 1 species